rnacentral:lncRNA from 1 species
UCUAGACUCUGGUCCUCAUACGUGCAUAGCAAGCGCCUCAGCCCAUCAGUGAAGUGGUCUUGACGUUAAGAUAGACAAUUCUGCCCUCUUUGUAAUUACAAGUUCUUUUGAAGAAACUGAGCAGCUGGUUGUUACAGGAAUACAUAUAUGACUGUUAGGCCUCGCAUCCCUUUUAAAAGGUGGAAUCAAAAUUCUCAUUCCAAAGGUUGUAAAAAAAAAGAACAAAUCCUGAUCUCUUAAAUUCAGAGUAUUAAAAGCCCCAUGCCUUCAGAGGGACCUUCUCCAGGCAGCCUGCCACGGCUUCAUUGGCUCGAAUCCUCCUGGGUGUACACUUGUUUGGCAACAGCUCCCACUGUAGGUCUUUACACAUUCCUGGGUCUGGGACUCAGUUGUGGAUCUGUGGAUGUAAUGAAACAUCUGAGCACACUUCUCAGAGGAAGAAAACUGAUAAAACUCUCAGCAUUUCCAUCAUGUCUUCACCUCAGGGAACUGUGGCCAUCCUGGGCAUCUCCACGAGGCCCUGAGGGAAUACCAGGUGAAUGGGAUGCAGCAGAGACUGCUCAUUUAUAUUUGGAACUGAUAAUGAAAGAAGCAGAAGGGCCAUCACUUAAUGUCAGAAGUGUGGAACAGUGAUAGAGCUGAAGCUACUAUCAUGCCAGAUGGGAAUUAAAGACUCUGUGAGGAAGAAGAAAAGCCACAGAACUGCUGCCUAGAGAAAGCUGAAGAGUUGAGGGAGAAACUCGAUUCAUUAUCUUCAGGGGGCUUUCCAGAAAAGGAAUCUUGUGCUGCAUCCCUAGGAUUGCAAAGAUAUGAAUUUCUAUAUAUCAUGUUUCUUCUUUUGGCCGUAUCAUUGCUAUGUCCUUAACUGGGCCUUCAUUACCCUGUCCUUAAAAGAAGAGAAUGGGGAGAAUGAAGCUUCAUUUUCAAGGAACUCUUUUAGAAAGGAAGUAAAAUUGAAUUAAAAACUUUCUAUUGGGAUCUGGGGUGUGGUGUGGUGGUUAAAUACUUGCCCAGUGUAUUCUGUUUGAUCCCCAGAAACGGAAAGAAAAUUCUUCCCAUUAUAGACUAUUUUCUGUUUUCCUCUAAAUUCAUAUGCUGAAAUCCCAAUUUCCAAUUUGAAGAACAGGGCCAUUAAGUGAUGUGAUCUAGGUUAAAUGAGGUCACUGGGGGAACGAAUCCAAUCCAAGUGAUCUCAGAAGAGUUCUGGACACAGGCAAACGAAAGAAGGGCUGUGUGUAGACUCGGGUAAGAGAUAGCCAAUGCAAAGCCAGGCUUGGAGCCACAGCCGAG